ACAGGGCACACAGGUGCAGGGCAUUGACUUGGGGGUAUAAAAGGCUGGGCUGAGGGACAAGGAGGCCACACGCUGCAGCCUUCUGGAGGGGAAUGGUGUUCGUGUGUGUGGGCAGGUGCCUGAAGCCUUCUGAAGAGGUUAAUUUUGACCUCUGGAACUCGGAGAAAUAAAGCACAAAAUAAUGUGUCAGAUAAAAGAAACUAUUGCAACGUAGGCUGAGAAGCCAAAGCUGCUCAGGGCAAAGGUGGCAGGGAAGAAGGCACAGUACAUAAUUUCUGGUGGUGAUAUUCAUGGCAUCUCACAGACUGCUUGAUUCACCCUUGCAACCUUGUCUGCAGACAGUGCCACAGGCUUAACUCACCUGCCAAGAAGUGUGAGCGUUCCUUGGAGUCUGUAAAAUGCAUCUGUGUGCAGCUUUGAUAGCUUUUACAAGGCACAAAAUUACUGUUCAGAGCAGCUCCCUUCAGCUACUUUUAAGUCAAGUGAAGUAAGAGUAAAUAUUUCUCAGCAGGUUGGAAUUCCAAGUGCCACUUCUCUUUCUGUCUUUGGAGUCUCUAUUUUUGUAUGCAUAUAUUUUGUGCAGGUUCAAGCUGAGACGUUUAGGGGUCAAGGCAAAAGAAGUCUGGAAAAAUCACAAAACAUUCUUGAUAAAUAUUCACCAAUAUGGUAAAUUCCAUGAAAGUAUGGGUUGUUUUUUUUAAAGAAAUAUGUAUACAUGAAGUGCUAAAUCCAUACAGACAACUUUUUGUGUGAUGAUAAAAGGAGAUAAAUUUACAUUUACCUUGAGAUUUUGUUGGUACUUCUAGUAUGUGAAAUUUCAAUUAAAUAUAGAAAAGUAGUGAUGGCUAUGUUGAUGAAUAUGGGUUUUUUCUGAGAGGGAAAUUAAAUGCUGAU